GCAGUCGUGGUGGAAUGGUAGACACGCUACUUUGAGGGGGUAGUCAACAUGCGUUGGUGUGAGUUCAAAUCUCAUCGACUGCACCA
rnacentral:tRNA from 1 species